rnacentral:rRNA from 1 species
AUGCACGCUGGCGGCGUGCCUAAUCCCUGCCAGUCGAGCGAACAGAUGAGGAGCUUGCUCCUCUGACGUUAGCGGCGGACGGGUGAGUAACACGUGGAUAACCUACCUAUAAGACUGGGAUAACUUCGGGAAACCGGAGCUAAUACCGGAUAAUAUAUUGAACCGCAUGGUUCAAUAGUGAAAGACGGUUUUGCUGUCACUUAUAGAUGGAUCCGCGCCGCAUUAGCUAGUUGGUAAGGUAACGGCUUACCAAGGCGACGAUGCGUAGCCGACCUGAGAGGGUGAUCGGCCACACUGGAACUGAGACACGGUCCAGACUCCUACGGGAGGCAGCAGUAGGGAAUCUUCCGCAAUGGGCGAAAGCCUGACGGAGCAACGCCGCGUGAGUGAUGAAGGUCUUCGGAUCGUAAAACUCUGUUAUUAGGGAAGAACAAAUGUGUAAGUAACUAUGCACGUCUUGACGGUACCUAAUCAGAAAGCCACGGCUAACUACGUG